ACCAAUUCUAGCCCAAAUAUACUACUAGUAAAACUAUUUUCAUACAUUAAAACAAAACAUUCAUACCACUAAAGUAUAGGCGAUAGAAAUUUUAUUAGGCGCUAUAGAGAAAGUACCGCAAGGGAAAGAUGAAAGAAUUAUUAAAAGUGUAAAACAGCAUAGAUUAAUACUACUACCUUUUGCAUCAUGAGCUAACUAGAACUCCCUUUGCAAAAAGAAUUUAAGCAAAGACCCCCGAAACCAAACGAGCUACUUUCAGACAGCUAAAUUGAGCCAACCCGUCUAUGUGGCAAAAUAGUGGGAAGAUCUGAAAGUAGAGGUGAAAAGCCAA
rnacentral:rRNA from 1 species